ACACGACCGUACCGCAAACCGACACUGGUGCGCGAGAUGAGUAUUCUCAGGCGCUUGAGAGAACUCGGGAGAAGGAACUCGGCAAAUUGACACCGUAACUUCGGAAGAAGGUGUGCCUUUAGUAGGUGAAGUCCCUCGCGGAUGGAGCCCAAUGAGGUUGCAAAGAAUCGGUGGCUGCGACUGUUUAAUAAAAACACAGCACUCUGCAAACACAAAAGUGGACGUAUAGGGUGUGACGCCUGCCCGGUGCUGGAAGAUUAAGUGAUGGGGUGCAAGCUCUUGAUCGAAGUCCCAGUAAACGGCGGCCGUAACAAUAACGGUCCUAAGGUAGCGAAAUUCCUUGUCGGGUAAGUUCCGACCUGCACGAAUGGCGUAACGAUGGCCACACUGUCUCCUCCCGAGACUCAGCGAAGUUGAAAUGUUUGUGAUGAUGCAAUCUCCCCGCGGAAAGACGGAAAGACCCCAUGAACCUUUACUGUAGCUUUGUAUUGGACUUUGAACGGAUCUGUGUAGGAUAGGUGGGAGGCUUUGAAGCCGGGUCGCUAGAUCUGGUGGAGCCAACGUUGAAAUACCACCCUGGUGCGUUUGAGGUUCUAACCUAGGCCCGUUAUCCGGGCCGGGGACAGUGCAUGGUAGGCAGUUUGACUGGGGCGGUCUCCUCCCAAAGCGUAACGGAGGAGUUCGAAGGUACGCUAGUUACGGUCGGACAUCGUGACGAUAGUGCAAUGGCAUAAGCGUGCUUAACUGCGAGACUGACAAGUCGAGCAGAUGCGAAAGCAGGACAUAGUGAUCCGGUGGUUCUGUAUGGAAGGGCCAUCGCUCAACGGAUAAAAGGUACUCUGGGGAUAACAGGCUGAUACCGCCCAAGAGUUCAUAUCGACGGCGGUGUUUGGCACCUCGAUGUCGGCUCAUCUCAUCCUGGGGCUGUAGCCGGUCCCAAGGGUAUGGCUGUUCGCCAUUUAAAGAGGUACGUGAGCUGGGUUUAAAACGUCGUGAGACAGUUUGGUCCCUAUCUUCCGUGGGCGCUGCAGAUUUGAGGAAGCCUGCUCCUAGUACGAGAGGACCGGAGUGGACGCACCUCUGGUGUACCUGUUGUCACGCCAGUGGCAUUGCAGGGUAGCUAAGUGCGGAAGAGAUAACCGCUGAAAGCAUCUAAGCGGGAAACUCGUUUCAAGAUGAGAUCUGCCGGGGCCUUGAGCCCCCUGAAGAGUCGUUCUAGACCAGGACGUUGAUAGGUCAGGUGUGGAAGCGCAGUAAUGCGUUAAGCUAACUGAUACUAAUUGCUCGUGCGGCUUGACCA
rnacentral:rRNA from 1 species